rnacentral:rRNA from 1 species
GUCCAGACUCCUACGGGAGGCAGCAGUGAGGAAUAUUGGUCAAUGGGCGCAGGCCUGAACCAGCCAAGUCGCGUGAGGGAAGACUGCCCUAUGGGUUGUAAACCUCUUUUAUAAGGGAAGAAUAAUGACUACGUGUAGUCAGAUGCCCGUACCUUAUGAAUAAGCAUCGGCUAACUCCGUGCCAGCAGCCGCGGUAAUACGGAGGAUGCGAGCGUUAUCCGGAUUCACUGGGUGUAAAGGGAGCGUAGACGGCGACGCAAGUCUGGAGUGAAAGGCCGGGGCCCAACCCCGGGACUGCUCUGGAAACUGCGUCGCUGGAGUACGGGAGGGGCAGGCGGAAUUCCUGGUGUAGCGGUGAAAUGCGUAGAUAUCAGGAGGAACACCGGCGGCGAAGGCGGCCUGCUGGACCGUGACUGACGUUGAGGCUCGAGAGCGUGGGGAGCAAACAGGAUUAGAUACCCUAGUAC